rnacentral:rRNA from 1 species
UGAGGAAUAUUGGUCAAUGGGCGCAAGCCUGAACCAGCCAUCCCGCGUGCAGGAAGACGGCCCUAUGGGUUGUAAACUUCUUUUGCAGGGGAAUAAAGGACGGUACGUGUACUGUUUUGUAUGUACCUUGCGAAUAAGGAUCGGCUAACUCCGUGCCAGCAGCCGCGGUAAUACGGAGGAUCCGAGCGUUAUCCGGAUUUAUUGGGUUUAAAGGGUGCGUAGGUGGAUUGUCAAGUCAGUGGUGAAAGUUUUCAGCUCAACUGAAAAAUUGCCGUUGAAACUGUCGAUCUUGAGUGCAAAUGAGGUAGGCGGAAUGUGUUGUGUAGCGGUGAAAUGCUUAGAUAUAACACAGAACUCCGAUUGCGAAGGCAGCUUACUGGGAUGCAACUGACACUGAUGCACGAAAGCGUGGGUAUCAAACA